ACAAAUCAAAAAACAAAUCAUCUUCUUAAAUCGGCUAUAAUAGCGUAAGCGGUGUCUACGUCAGUAAAGAGGGUAAGUAAGUAUGUGAUUUAAGAGAGUGGAACGGUUACAAAUUUUGUAAUAAAAAAUACCAUCUCGACAUUUACAAACGUCGUCAAUUGUUUUUAUUAAAAGUAAGUCAGAGGUAUCAGGGACUACUACAAUUACAACUAGCGAAACCCUUGGCUACUGGAUGUAAAUGUCGUUGUUUAUACAUUCAGACAAUAAAUAAUCCCUAGUUACAGGAAGUCACAUUUGUUAGCCUGCACUCCGUCACACCAACCCAUAGGACAAAGGAAGGUUGCUCGCAACUUAUAAGGCCAUUAGAGGGCCGGUCGUUAACUAAAUUGCGCCGUUCUGUUCGCUGGGGGGCUAGCGAGAAGCAAUUGGAGAAGUUACAACCUUUGUCAGAACGUCGUCCUGUGGAAUGUGACAGAAAAUCUCUAUAUCUCCGCCUAUACACAUCUUGCAGAGUACAACAAAUAUGCUACCAAUUAAGGAGCACAGCGUGUUAUGCUGAUGAACGGCGUUCUCGAGUUCAAACCCCCACCUAUUGUAGCGAAGAGCCCGAGAAUACCGCGUAGUACUGGCUCAACUUAAAUCAGGAUAUUGUAGUAGAUUAAAUUCCUACUUAUCCAGACUAGACGCCGACAUACCUAAUGUAUGUCCAGGCGUUAUGAGUCCCCGGGGCCCUCUAAAACCAACUCAUCUAACCCUCCAUUUCUAUCUGGUCUGAACCCGUCGAAACACCUCGUUUCCUGGACCUGACAUUAGAUGACCUCGAUGAAAAACCGUUACAAGAACAACAACUGUGUACCACUUACCCUCAUUAAUAAAUUGCAGUAAUUUUGUUUCAACUGGUCUCAAAUUUUUCGCGAGGUGAUGGUAAGCCUUAUAUUUUAAAUAAAACCCGUCAAAACUCGCUUUUCGAAAUGCAUUUCCCAAAACAAGAAAAGAGCUUUUAAAAUCUCUUUUUACGGUGUUUAGAAAAUAAAUGCUUCUGAAAAGCCUUCUGAUUGACCUUGCAGAUUUUGGUUAGACAUGAAUACACAAUUUUGAAAUGACAUUUAUUUGCAGUUAAACAAAAGUUUUUAUUUAAGUUUUAUGAAUAUAUUUUAUUACAUGUAUGUUUCUAUAUAUGUAUGUAUUAUAAGUUAUAUAUGGGAUACUUUUACUAUGUAAUCUAAAUAUUUUGCAUUACUGAUGUCAUAAUAAUGUGUAGUCAUAAUAAACAAUUACACUUAUUUGUAUACUUCAUAAUAACUUUUAUCAUAUUAGUUUUAAUACAUACACUUCAUAUCGAAUAC